rnacentral:lncRNA from 1 species
CGUCCCGGCCGCCCGCCGCCCCGCCCCCGCGCCGCGAGGUCCUAAGCAGCCCGGGCUGUUGCGCGGCGCUGGCGGGCGGGGACACCAACGGGGAGUGGAUACUCCGAGGCUCAACCUGGGGCCUCUGCCCGCCCUCCCCUGGGUGCGGAGCCGGACGGCGGGCACUGGCAACCCCCGGGCCCCUGGAGAGCCCCGCGGCGGCCCAAGACCCGCUCCCGAGACACGUGGGCCCCUCCGGACUUGGUUGGUCCCUGGAGCCAGCUGCGCGCGUCCUCUCCGGCCUCCUUGUCGGCGCUGGAGUGGGUCCACGUCUGCCUUGCGGAGCGCGGUGGUUCCACGCUCCUGAGCGCCCACGCUGCGCAGACCUGGCCGCUCUGCGAGGCGACGGCAGCGCACUGAAGACCGUGGUGUUUCCCAAGCCCUCCCUGCUCUCGGGCCUCCAGGGCGCAGCAGGGGAGGGUUUUGUCCCCGUGGCCAAAGCUCUGCAGGUCGAACCUUAUCUGCUAUGGGAAGGCCCCGCAUUUUCAGAUUCACGCAGGGCCCUCUGCAGACUGUUGGCAGAAAAAAGGUAGCCACCAAACACAUGCAUAAGCUGGACUUUUCCCAGAAUGCUGCAGCAGAACUACCCUCCAGAUAGACACUAGCCUGCGGGCCACAGUGCUACGUGAGUCUUGCAAAGAGGAGAUCUUUAUGGCGAGGCUGAGAGCACUGCCUGCAUGCUUUACCAGAGCCCAGCCUCCAGCCUCCACGGAAAAUGUGUUUUGGAAUCAACACUCUUUGCAAAGGCUCCACACUGCUUUCUGGUAGCAUUGGCCUGGGCGCCCAGGCACUCCUUUAGAACCCACCUGUUCCCCCCACCCACCCUAGUGGGAGGAGGAGAGGGUUACACUGACAGAUACCGGCAGCUCUGCAACCCGGGAACAACGCAGACAACAUACAACUCGACAGAGUCACAGAAGGUGGCGUCCAUCGCGCCUGGAUGGUGACUACUGCCCUGCGGGCUGCUGGGUGGGUGAAACACACAGGGAAGAAGCACAAAUACACACACAGAUGUGGCUCAGGGACAUUUGAAUGCUUCAGUGUGUGAAUUUUUUAGCGCAUUCUGACUCGAAAUUAUGGCUGAAUAGUGGCGCACUAAUGUCCAAGUCCAUGUUCGAUAAUGGCAGGAAGUCUGCACUAAUUGGUCUAUUUAGUAGUUGCUGAGGUGGCAAAAGCUGCAGCUGCUGGUGGCUGAAAGAGAGAGAGAGAGAGAGAGACCUCCUCUUAGGCCACUUCCCAGAGCUGUGGCAGUGGGGGAGGGGGAAUUCCCCAGGAUGGUGUUUGUGGUCAAGUUCACCUCUGGCAACCCUGCCUAAGCUCUUCUCACAGGUGCACGCAUUCAAGUCCUGAAGAGCCCUCCCCGCCCCCAACAGUGUUCAUGUCCCGGGCUGGGGGCCCGCCUGGGAGGGGCUCUAUAUGCCGGUGGGACCUGGCUGCUUUGCCUCGCAUUCUCCCCACUCUUCCCCUUCCCAGGGCAGCUUUUCUCCCCGCACCCCAUCUCUCUCCCCUUUGCUUUCUAACUGGGUUGGGAAGCUAAUCUGCCAAGAGCCCGCUGCUUAGCCGGUGCGGUGGCAUGUGCCUGUGGUCCCAGCUACUUGGGAGGCUGGAACAGGAGAAUCGCCUGAGCCCAGGGGUAGAGGUGAGGCUGCAGUGAGCUAGGAUUGCACCAUGGCGCUCCAGCCUGGGCCACAGAGCAAGACUGUCUGAAAAAAAGAACCUGCUGCCCACCUCACCAUUUGAACUGGGAAUAUUUUACCAGAGAGAAUGUGGACAUGGAGAAGCCACCGUCACACACAGAGUAAGGGUGUGUGGGGUGGGGGCAGAUUUAAGAUGGACUCUGGACAGUUCCCGAGCCACUAGAGUGCCCAUCCCUGCCAGGAGGCCCCAGAUGCUCAGGGGUUUCAGCGGCCUUCUGCAGCCUCAGCCAGUGCUUACACCACACCUGGGAGCAGCAUGGGCCGCCCUCUGCCUCACCGAGGGGCAAACCGGCUGAGGACCCAGGCACGAAGAGUGUCACCAGCUCUGACCACAAGCCCCGUAGACCAGGGCUGCGUCCAUAAUCGGGGUUGAUGGCAUUAGUUAUUAUAUUAUAACCUCCUUGUUGCGUGAUUCUAGUAAUUUAUUUUCCCACUUGGCCUUUGACUGGGCUGGGCUCCUCCCAGUGGAACAACAGGGGGUGUCGUGUUUGCAGCAGAAACGCACACUGGGAUCCUUUCUUGCAACAGCUGGGCCGGCUGGGUCUUUUCUCUUGUCUUCUGUACACAGGCCCCUCUCCGCUGUUUCUGCAGAGACCGAGGUGGGAGGGAGAAAGACCCUCCAGCCCUCUGCUCCCACCCUCCCCGCAGUCUCCGGGGCCCUGUGCUGCAGGCAAGAUAAUUUGGCUAAUGAACUCGUUAAAGGGCCCCUGGUGACCCGCCCCGGCUUCCCCUCGGCCCAUCUGGGAAAUUCCAUUGAAAGGCUGGAGAAGGUUCCUCAGCCCCGCCGCCUUCUGUCGCUGCUAGAGGCGCGAACCCGGUGACUCUGGGCCCCUUACAUUAAAAUAAUUACCCGGCGGAACAGGUGGCCCACUCCCGGCGCCUGGGUGCAUCUGGGCCCCCGGAGCCGCAGCCCGGGAGGAGGGGAGCGGCACGCCCAGGGGAGGGAAGGUCAGGCCCGCUGAGCCGGGAGCCGGGAGGGUAGAGAGGGGCUUUCCUAGGGACAGACGGUCCCGGGGCACCCAGGCCUCCGCGGCCGAGCGGGCUGAGGCCUAAGCAGGGAGGCCGUCGCCUUCAGGCACAGAUACUGAAGAUUUUACAGCGGGGAAUGGACAUGGUCAGACUCACAUCUAACAAAAGCCGGAAGAUGAUUCUGGAAGACACCGCCGUGGCAAUUUGGCCAGGAGGUUCCAGAGAUGGUGGUCUCAAAGGGGAGCAGUAGGAGCAAAUGGGACCAGGAGGAUUUUUCUCUUUUUUCUGGGAGAGGUAUUUUUAAGGAUGUAGAACUUAUUUUCUGACAGAAAAGUAAACAAAAUAUGUAAGUAUUGUGGCUAUCUACUGUUCAGUGGAGAUUUUCUGUACACCCAUCAGGCCCCCAGUUCACACCACAUCGCUAAGAAUGUGCUACGUACUCCCCCGGGGUUCCUUCACAGCGUGCACAUAAACAAUCCUGCAUCUGUACAUGCACAGGUUACCACGUGUACGGUUUGCGCAUAAACAAUCCUGCAUCUUUGCAUGCACAGGUUACCACGUGUAUGUAGUUAUCAAGUAUAUGUUAAUAAAUUUCUUUUUGAGACAGAGUCUCGCUCUGUCGCCCAGGCUGGAG